UCUGUAGGAGGUUUGUUAAAUACGAGGUGAAAUCCGGGGGGCUCAACUUCCGAAUUGCCUUGUAGACUGAUGAACUAGAGUACUGGAGAGGUAAGCGGAAUACCAGGUGUAGCGGUGGAAUGCGUAGAUAUCUGGUAGAACACCAAUAGCGAAGGCAGCUUGCUGGACAGAAACUGACUCUGAAAGACGAAAGCAUGGGGGACAAAC
rnacentral:rRNA from 1 species